AUGUCAUUGCUAACAUCUAGACAUCUCUCGCUUCAAUUUUGGGUGGAUGUUUACACAUGCAUUGAGCAAAACAGACUAAACUGGAUCAGGAAUAAUCAAGGGAAGCUACGAACUGAACUUUACAGUGGACUGCAGGACGCGAUUGAGCAAGGGGACACCAGAACAGAGCAGGUCGGAAAGAGGAUAAUUGUACCUUCAUCUUAUAUAGGAGGUAGAAGAAACAAGGCACAAAACUUGCAAGACGCAUUUGCAAUAUGCCGUUGGGCUGGAUAUCCAGACCUAUUUAUAACAUUCACAUGCAAUGCAAAGUGGCCUGAGAUCCAAUACAUGCUAGAUGAAGCAGGAGGAGGGCUCAAGCCAGCCGACCGACCAGAUAUUGUUGACCGAGUAUUCAUGAUAAAACUGAAGGAGCUAAUGAGAGAUAUCGUUGUGAAGAAACAGUUUGGAGAAACUAUAGCAAGUAAGAUCAGUCGACUACUAAUCGCUAACUAA
rnacentral:rRNA from 1 species